UACAGAGGGUGCAAGCGUUGUUCGGAAUUAUUGGGCGUAAAGCGCGUGUAGGCGGCUUAGUAAGUUGAUUGUGAAAGCCCUCGGCUUAACCGAGGAAGUGCGGUCAAAACUGCUGAGCUUGAGUACUGGAGAGGGUGGUAGAAUUCCCCAAGUAGAGGUGAAAUUCUUAGAUAUGGGGAGGAAUACCGGAGGCGAAGGCGGCCACCUGGACAGAAACUGACGCUGAGACGCGAAAGCGUGGGUAGCAAACAGG
rnacentral:rRNA from 1 species